rnacentral:rRNA from 1 species
GACAGAGGGUGCAAACGUUGCUCGGAUUUACUGGGCGUAAAGCGCACGUAGGUGGCGACGUAAGUCGGGUGUGAAAGCCCCGGGCUCAACCUGGGAAUUGCAUUCGAGACUGCAUUGCUGGAGUACGGAAGAGGAAGGCGGAAUUCCCGGUGUAGCGGUGAAAUGCGUAGAUAUCGGGAGGAACAUCAGUGGCGAAGGCGGCCUUCUGGUCCAGUACUGACACUCAAGUGCGAAAGCGUGGGGAGCAAACAGG